AAAGUGGCAACAAAUACAAAACAUAAGGGCCACUUCUUUCACUAUGCUACUGGAAUUCAUCAGAGUGUGGGAACAAUCAUGCACUCCGACUUGUGGAUCCACAGGAUUCUCAUAGACUUCCAACGGUAGGUCUGUUUGUGAUUCCUCAUUUGGGAAUGAUGGAAAGAGUGAGUUCCUUAUGCUCAGUAAGGAAAACAGUAUUAAAUUAACAUCGUAAGAUUUCAAAAGUUCAUUAUUUUACCUUACAGUUUAGCUUCCUCGUUUACCAAACUCAUCAUUAGAAAAAAUCAUUUAUUUGAAUAUCAAAAUAGUACGUUAGCACUAAAAAUUAAAUAUACAUAUAUCAUGCAAAAUAAUAGAGAA
rnacentral:lncRNA from 1 species